UACGUAGGGGGCAAGCGUUGUCCGGAUUUAUUGGGCGUAAAGAGCUCGUAGGCGGUCUGUCGAGUCGGAUGUGAAAACCCAGGGCUCAACCCUGGGCCUGCAUUCGAUACUGGCAGACUAGAGUGUGGCAGGGGAGACUGGAAUUCCUGGUGUAGCGGUGAAAUACGUAGAUAUCAGGUGGAACACCGGAGGCGAAGGCGGGUAGCUGGCCCAACACUGACACUCAGACCCGAAAGCGUGGGGAUCAAACAGG
rnacentral:rRNA from 1 species